rnacentral:rRNA from 1 species
GCUAUUUAGGUUAGAGUUUGAUCCUGGCUCAGGACGAACGCUGGCGGCGCGCUUAACACAUGCAAGUCGAGCGAGAACCCACCUUCGGGUGGGGGAAAGCGGCGAACGGGUGAGUAACACGUGGGCAACCCACCCUUGGUAUCGGGAUAGCCCGGGGAAACCCGGAUUAAUACCGGAUGGCCCAGCAGCUCUUCGGGGCGGCUGGAAAAGGUAGCUUCGGCCUCCGACCAAGGACGGGCCCGCGGCGGAUUAGCUUGUUGGUGAGGUAACGGCUCACCAAGGCGACGAUCCGUAGCUGGUCUGAGAGGACGAUCAGCCACACUGGGACUGAGACACGGCCCAGACUCCUACGGGAGGCAGCAGUGGGGAAUCUUGCGCAAUGGGCGAAAGGCUGACGCAGCGACGCCGCGUGUGGGAGGAAGCUCUUCGGGGUGUAAACCACUGUUGCCCGGGACGAACAUCGGUUUUCGAGCCGACUGACGGUACCGGGUGAGGAAGCACCGGCUAACUCUGUGCCAGCAGCCGCGGUAAU